rnacentral:rRNA from 1 species
AGAAUGCGGGUGCCUAUACAUGCAGUUGAGCGCUUUUUCUUGCCCGUGUCUCGCCCGGCGAGGACGAGAGUGGGAAUCGGGUGAGUAACAUCUGCGUUUGAUGGCCAUCCAAAGGGGGUAACCGAUGGAAACUGGUGCUAAUACCGUUUAACCCUAUUUUCCGCAUUUGAGAGAGUUGAAAGGCGCUUUUGCGAUGAUGAUGGAUUGACCCGCGGUGCAUUAGCUAGUUGGGGACGUAACGGCUAUCCUACGUAACCAUGCAGAGCCGACCUGAGAGGGUGAUCGGCCUGCUGGGACUGAAACAUCAUCCAGACUCCUACGGGAGGCAAUCUUCGGGAAUCUUCGGCAAUGGAACAAAGUCUGACCGAGCGACGCCGCGUGGGUUUCGAAUGUUUUCGGAUCGUUGAACUCUGUUGUUAUAGAAGAACAAGGAUGACUCAUCAAUGUUCAUCCCUUGACGGUAUCUAACCGGAAAGCCACGGCUAACUACGUGCCAGCAGCCGCGGUAAUACGAGCGUGGCCAGCAUUUGUUGGGAUUUAUUGGGCGUAAAGCGAGCGCAUGCGGCUUCUUAAGUCUGAUGUGAAUCCCCCGUCUCUGCCUUGGAGGGUCAUUGAAAACUGUGCGACUUGAGUGCAGAAGAUUACAUGGGAAUUCCAUGUAUAGCGGUGAAAUGCGUAGGAUCUAUGGAGGAACACCGCGUGGCUCAGGCCGCUCUCUGGUCUGUAACUGACGCUGAGUGUCGAAAGCAUGGGAUGCGAACACCAUUUAUACCCUGGUAAUCCACGCCGUGCUCGAUGAGUGGUACUGUUGGAGGCUUUCCGCCCUUCAAUGCUGCAGCAACUCCAUCUUGCGCUCCGCCAUGGGGAGUAUGACCCCAGGUUGAAUCUCCGGGGACUGCACGGGGGCCGCACAUGUGGUGUACUUCGUAGUUUAAUUCCGAAAACACUCCCAGAACCUUACCUCGUCUUGACAUUCCUUUAGACAACCAAGUACUAUCGUACCCCUACACGGGCAAGAGACGGUGGCUGCCAUGCUCUGCUGCU